ACAAGAGCAUUUUUUUUUUUGAAACUAAAAUUAUAUUGAUUUCGAAAGAGGGCCUAUAAACAGGCAAUUUGUGUACAAGGAGACAAAAAUCCUAGUAAGAGGAAAUUGUCAAGAAAACAAAGAGAAAGCUAUGCCGAAAACGUCCUAUUGACUUUAAUUCCACUACUGCCAUUAUGUCUUCAAGCCUCUCAUCUCCUGCUGUCGGAUAGAAGUGAUUAGCUUGUUCAGUCCUUUGAACUUGGAUG
rnacentral:lncRNA from 1 species